GACGUAGGUGGCGAACGUUAUCCGGAAUUAUUGGGCGUAAAGGAUGCGUAGUUGGUGUAGUAAGUUAUCGGUGGUAAAUCGAGGCUCAACCUCGUGGAAGUCGGUAAUACUGUUAUGCUAGAGGAUAGGAGAGGUUAACGGAACUCCCUGUGGAGCGGUGAAAUGCGUAGAUAUAGGGAAGAACACCAAUAAAGGCGAAGGCAGUUAACUAUUCUAUUCCUGACAUUGAGGCAUGAAAGCGUGGGGAGCAAAACGG
rnacentral:rRNA from 1 species